rnacentral:lncRNA from 1 species
CCAACCUAAUUAAUAAUUAUUUUAGAAUAUUUGAUAAAGACGAGGACGGAAAACUGAGUGUUCCUGAGCUAAAACAAAUAAUGAGUUCUCUAGGAGAGAAAAUGGCCGGCAGAGAGCUUGAGCAGUUGGUCGAUGAAGCCGAUACGACAAAAGAUGGGUUUGUUAAUUAUGAAGAUUUUUGCAAUGUUCUUGUUGACGACAAAAAAGCGAAGUCUAAAAAGGGAGCUGCAAUUAAAGGAAAGCGGCUUGAUCACAAUAAGAACAUUUCCUGAUUGGCUGCAAUAAACCAUUUACAGAUCCAAUUGGGCCGCCAAAUCACUUGAUGAUCCAAUAGGCCCCCCAAAUCAUUUGAUGAUCCAAAAUGGCCGCCAAAUCAUUUACAGAUCCAAUAUGGCCAUGAAACCAUUUCCUGGUCCAAUAUGGCCGCCAAACCAUUUCCUGAUCCAAUAUGGUCGCCAAACCAUUUCCUGAUUCAAAAUGACUGCUUUAACCAUUUCCUGAUCCAAUAUGGCCGGCAAACCAUCCCCCGAUCCAAUAUGGCCGUCAAAUCAUUUCCUGAUCCAAUAUGACCACAACAAAAUUUACUGAUCCACUUUGGUCGCCAAACCAUUUCCUGAUCUAAUACGGCCGCCAAAUCAUUUAAAGAUCCAAUAUGGCCACCAAAUCAUUUACUGAUCCAAUAUGGCCACUUAAUCAUUUCCGGGAUCAUUUUGUCCACCAAAUGACCAAAAAUGGUCACUGAACUGUUUGAAAGUAUUAAAUUCUCGAGCUCAAAUUAAGAUUAUUUUAAUGUGGAAAAAAAAACAAUUAAUAUUUUUAAUAUGCACAAAAUAAAAAUCGUGGGUUUUACCAAAAACGUGUUGAUUAGGGUUAUUUUUCAUUCUGGACCUUCGGGACAUCUAUGAGCAAAAUGAUAUGCUUAGUUGUAAUAUUUGUUUCCAGAUUUGGGUUGAUUUUGUCCAGUAAAAUAUAUUGUUGAAGCCAUUGCAAAAUUCACAUAAACAACUAAUUUUUUUUAUCAAAGCCUACUGAAAGCCAAAAACCUAAAAUAAAAAUUUUUUAAAAAAUCAAAUGUCCAAAUUUAUUUAUUGCAAGAACAUUUAUUUGUGAAGAAUAACUGUUAAAUGUUCAAAUAUUUGAUGACAAUCCAAAUAUUUUUUAUGUUUCUCUCUUAGUGCUUUUUGUUCGACAUAAAUAGUCUUUUAUUGCCUUUAAUUUUCCGGAUAAAAAACUCAAUCAGAAAAUUGGUAUUGGUCUAGAAGUGCUCACUUUCAAAAGUUUCAAUGAAUUCUUGAUAAAAAGUAUUGUGUGUUUAUUGCUAAUCCCUAAAAAUGGGGGGAGGGAAGAAAUCUUAUGAACAUUUUUAUACCUCCCCAGUUUAAAAACUUAUAAAGAAUAAGAAAGAAUAAGUAGGCCUUAAAAAGUUAGCAUUAUUGACAUGUAUUACUUUAAAAGCGCCACCCCCCCCCCCCCCCCACUCUAAAUUAGUAUAAUGAUAUCCCAACCUAGAUAGGGUUAAAGGAUUUACAAAAAAAAUUGAGGCUCGUAGUUCUGUGGUUCGUGUUUAAAGUAUAUAUUUGUUUCAAUGUAUCAUGUAUUCAUUGUAUUAGUAGUCUGUAUGUUACGUAUUGUAUUAUGUAUUGUAUUUGUAACGUGUGUGUUAUGAAGUGUAUUUAUCAUGCUUGCAUGAAUUAUUGUAUUAUUAAUUGUUGUAAGAUAUGAAACUGCAAUAAGUAUUCUAGUUUAAGAUAGAUUUUUAUCAAAACAUAAUUAACAAAUGACUUAUCGAACUUACCGAUAGCAUUUUAAGAUUUCUAACAGAAUGUUAGGGGUUCAGUUAUUUGUGAGAUAUACUUAACAUUCUGUUAAUAAUUUUAAACAAAAUGUUCAAAUUUGAAAAUGCAUUUGAUAUUUCGAUCACUAGCUAAACACAAAGCUGGGUGUUCGUGAAACAACAGUACUAGCGCUGCUAUAGCUGUGAAUUAAACUGGGUGGCUAAAUAUUGUUUAAAGGGAGUGACCGGCAAUGUACGGUAGUUUAACUGAGACUGUAGUAUCGUGCAAAAAUUGUUUAGGAAUCAUUGAGACCCAAGAGACGUUUUUACGGUGCAUAUUUGUUCAGCAAGAGCGUAAAUUCAAUCUUUAAAUCCUGAUAGAUUGUUCAUU